CGACAAACUACAAGACUACCUUCUCAGGCAACUUAUCCUUAAAUCAAGGAUCACCUUGACCCUUGCUAUACUAGGACGAGAUUUAAUUUGAGUCGCUUUAUCAAUUGAUAUGGGCAUACCAGCAGCAGAAGCUAUUGAUAAUAAUGCUUUUUUGGCAAACAACUCUGGUGGUAAGUUUGGCAUCGAUAUCCAUACAACAAUCUUUGUCAUCUCCUCCAUUACAUUAAAAUCAAUAGACCAUGGAAAUACUCUAAUUUGGUGCUCCCUUCCAUUGUGAUUAAAGUACAGAACUGACCUCGCAAGUGAUCACAACUCUAGUGGUAAGUUUGGCAUCGAUAUCCAUACAAUAUCCAUUGUCGUCGAAUUUAAAUUACAACAAUAAUAACAAUUCAGUGAGAUUCUAUAAAUAGGAGUCUCAGAAGAGUAAAGUGUACAUAAAUAUUACUUCUAUUUUAAAGGAAAAAUAGGCCAUUUUCAAGAACAAAUAAAUAACAAUAUGAAUUUAAAUAAAAAUACAAUUUUUGUUUAGAGGAAAGAGAGUGUGUGUAUAUCAAUUUAUUUUCUCAAUAGUUUUUUUACCCUUUGAUUUCUGCUACUAUCUAUUGUUUCUUGUACUUUAGUUAUCUAGUUUAUUUGUGAUAGCUACUGCUACUUUUUAUACUACUUUAUCAUGAUUUAAUUGUUUUCGUUACUUUAUUUCAUACUGAAUUGAAUUGAUUGACCUUAUCUGAUUUUCUUGGCCAUGAUUUCUCUUGAUUUGAGGAUCCUCUACCUUUUAAAGUAGAGAUAAGGUCUGUGUACACUCUACCUUUGUAACGACCCAGCUAUCAUUUUGAGACUUAACAUCUCGAUCCCCAUAUUAACUACUUUUUAUAUGUCUAAUUCUGCUAUUGUGAUUUGCCGGGAUGGUCCAUCUUGAGUAUCGGAGUGUUUUGGUAUACUUAGUCCCUAAAUGAGAGUUUAAGUCUUGAAAUUUGGACCAUAGUCGUAGCAGUAUGAAGACGAGUUUGGAAUAUAAUUUUUUCAGUUCUGUUAGCUACAUUGGAUAAUUUUGGGCUUAGGGGCAUGUUCGGAUUGUGUUUUGGAGGUCCGUAUCAUUUUAGGCUUGAAAUGUUGAAACUUGAAUUUUUUUAUUUUUCUGGAUCAAUAGUGAAAUUUUGAUAUCGGGGUUGGAAUCCGAUUCUGAAAGUUAGAAUAGUUCCAUUGUAUUGAAUGUGACUUGUGUGCGAAAUUUGAGAUCAAUCGGACAUGAUUUUGUUGGUUUUGGCAUUGGUUGUAGAAUUCUUGGGAUUUCAAGUUCAUUAGGCUUUAAUUGGAGGGUGAUUCGUGGUUUUAGCGUUGUUUGAUGUGAUUUGAUGGUUGGACUAAGUUUGUGUGAUAUUUUAAGAUUGGUUGGCAUGUUUGGUUGAGGUACUAGGAGCCUCGGGUGAGUUUCAGAUGCUUAACAAAAUUGGAUAUGGACGUCGACAAUUUUCUGAACUUGUUGAACCUAUUGGAUUCGCACCUGCAGAGUUUGGACAGCAAGUGCAGCAGUGCAGAUGUGAUUAGGAAACUGCAGAUGCGGUCUGAGGCUUGGAGAUUGAAUGUCGCAGAUGCGACUCUCAAGGACCGCAAAAGCGGAACUGCAUCAACGAGUAAGGGGACGCAGGUGCGGAACCUGGUAACUUAAUGAAAUUCUGUAGGUGCGGAGUAUGAGCCGUAGGAGCGGGACCACAGAUACGAUGAACCCCUCGUAGAAGUGGAAAUUGAUGGGCAUAAAAGAGAGAAAUCGAGGGUUUGAAAUCAUAACCUGUAAAAUUGAUUUUAAGCUCGGUAGAAGGUGAUUGCUUGAGAGAUUUUGAAGGAGAACUAUUGGGUAAUGAAUUCUAACUAUAACUUACAUUAUGAAAUUGAUUUGGUUAGAUUUGAGCCAUUCGGAGUUGGAUAAUCAUUCUAAGAGCAUGAUUUCAGAUUGAUUGAGCUUGAUUUGAGGUAAGUGAUUGUCUAACCUUGUGUGGGGGAACUCUCCUUAGGAUUUUGGAACUGUUGUUAUAUGAAUGAUGUGUAUGUAAGGUGACGAGUGUUUACAUGUGCUAAUUGUUGAUAAACCAUGUUUUGAUUAAGUAAAUGUCUAUGCUUUCCUUUAAUUGAGCAACACUAGUAUGUGAAACCUCAUGUUUAGAUUAGGAAAUCAUGCCUAUGUGACUUAACUGUCUUAUCUGCUUUUACUGCCUACUUGGAUUCUGUGUAGCAUCGUUUAGGGUGGAAAUUCCUUUUUUCUUAUGCAAACUUGAAUAAAACUGUACACUUCUUUCUUAAGAGUGUUGUGUAUUUAUUUUGGGACUACGGAUCCGCAAGAUCUCCCUGCACAAUUAUAAUUGGGACUAUGGGAUGAUAUCUAGGUGUCCUCCUAUAUUGGAUAUUUAUUUUGGGGCUACGAAUCAGUAUUCUGGAAGAUCCUCGUGCAAAUUUACGAUUUGGACUAUGGGACGAUUUCCCAGGAGAUCCUCUACACAUUUAUGUUUGGGACUACGGGACGUUAUCCUAGGAGAUUCCCUGUUGCUAUCUCCCUAUAUAGAGUUAUUUUUUCAUGUCAUUUCAUUAUUAUUGAAUGUUAGCAUCUUAAAUUAUACUGCCUCAUUUCACGUUAUUUUACUUUGUUAUAUAUAUAACAAGUAGGGCCCUAACCUUCCUCGUCACUACUAGACCGAGGUGAGGCUUGUCACUUACUGUUGCCGCUGUGGUGUACUCAUGCACUUUCCUGCACAUAUUUUUUGUGUGCAGAUCCAGGUUGUUCUCCUCAGCCAUACCACCCAUGAGGCGGAGCGAUCUAGAGACUUCGAGGUAUAUCUGCCACGUCCACAGACUUAGAAGUCUCUCUUUAUUCUCCUUUUAGCUAUAGACUUCUUGUAUUUAAUUUUGUUUAGACUUCUAGAAUGUAUUUAAUUUUGUUUAGACUUCUGGAAUUAGAACACUAUGUAUUUUUUUUAGCUUGCGAUUCAUGAGAUUGGGGUUUUUGAGAGUAUUUUAUGUUCAGUUUGAGAGAGUGAUAUUGUAUAUGUUGAGCGGCAU
rnacentral:lncRNA from 1 species